GACGAACGCUGGCGGCGUGCCUAAUACAUGCAAGUAGAACGCUGAAGCUUGGUGCUUGCACCGAGCGGAUGAGUUGCGAACGGGUGAGUAACGCGUAGGUAACCUGCCUGGUAGCGGGGGAUAACUAUUGGAAACGAUAGCUAAUACCGCAUAAGAGUAGAUGUUGCAUGACAUUUGCUUAAAAGGUGCAAUUGCAUCACUACCAGAUGGACCUGCGUUGUAUUAGCUAGUUGGUGAGGUAACGGCUCACCAAGGCAACGAUACAUAGCCGACCUGAGAGGGUGAUCGGCCACACUGGGACUGAGACACGGCCCAGACUCCUACGGGAGGCAGCAGUAGGGAAUCUUCGGCAAUGGACGGAAGUCUGACCGAGCAACGCCGCGUGAGUGAAGAAGGUUUUCGGAUCGUAAAGCUCUGUUGUAAGAGAAGAACGAGUGUGAGAGUGGAAAGUUCACACUGUGACGGUAUCUUACCAGAAAGGGACGGCUAACUACGUGC
rnacentral:rRNA from 1 species